UACGAAGGGAGCUAGCGUUGUUCGGAAUCACUGGGCGUAAAGCGUGCGUAGGCGGCUUCUCAAGUCAGGGGUGAAAUCCCACAGCUUAACUGUGGAACUGCCUUUGAAACUGAGAGGCUAGAAUGUGAGAGGGGAUGGCGGAAUUCCUAAUGUAGAGGUGAAAUUCGUAGAUAUUAGGGGGAACACCCGUGGCGAAAGCGGCCAUCUGGAUCACAAUUGACGCUGAUGUACGAAAGCGUGGGUAGCAAACAGG
rnacentral:rRNA from 1 species